GGAGCUGUGCGUGUUUUUCUCAGUCAAGCCUAAGGCGGGAGAGAAGGAGGUUUCACCAAACACAUUCUUCACAGUGUGGCACGAGUUUUCGUCAGAUUUUAAGGAGCUCUGGAAGAGAGAGAAUAAAUGCCUGCUGCAGGAGCGGUUGAAAGCUGCAGAAGAGACUUUCAGACAAGCACGAGAGAAGGCUAACUACAACGUAAAGCCUAAACAUGCAUCAGGAAUAAAAGCCAAGCUGGGACAGAAGAUGUAAAUUUCUACAACAACAAAACUCCUUUUAGCCCAGAUCUUUUUUUUACUUGACAGUUACUUCAAUAUAAGAAUAAUAGCCAUGAGAGGGUUUGCAUGAUCUUAGUAUAUGAACGUGAUCAGAAUUGUG